CAGAAGGUGGUUCGUCGACAAAUUUAACCGCAGACAUGCGACUCUCAGUCUUUUGGUCCCAGCUGAGCCGGCUGUCCUGUUCUAUGCUGUCCCGCAGCAGGUUCUCUGAAUUCAUCGAACGAAACAUCGAGCACAUGGAGGUGCCUCAGCUGCCCGGUUUCUGCUGGAAGCUGAAUGAGCCGGUUCUCGCGGAGGGAAAGAACGCCCAGACGACUCAGCUGGCCUAUGUGCGGCGGAACCUCGGAGAGGCGGUUGCGGUCCACAUUCAGGUGCCUAACACAAGCUGGAGCCUCCCUAAUGGAAUGUGACACACUACCAUGCUAGCAGCAACUGGAGCACAGGUGGUGGACAUAAGACUUCAUUUCUGGACAGCUUAUAAAAACAGUGCAAGAAAGAGAAGUCUAUAGCACAGAUGUGGACAUGUUUACCUGCUGUACAGCAACCACAAAACUAUAGCUUGUCAGAACUGCACGACGUCCAAAUUGCAAAAUCUGUUUAAAC